UCAAUUGUGUGGGAAUUUAGA
rnacentral:piRNA from 1 species